UACGGAGGGGGUUAGCGUUGUUCGGAAUUACUGGGCGUAAAGCGCACGUAGGCGGACUAGUAAGUCAGGGGUGAAAUCCCGGGGCUCAACCCUGGAACUGCCUUUGAUACUGCUAGUCUUGAGUUCGAGAGAGGUGAGCGGAAUUCCGAGUGUAGAGGUGAAAUUCGUAGAUAUUCGGAGGAACACCAGUGGCGAAGGCGGCUCACUGGCUCGAUACUGACGCUGAGGUGCGAAAGCGUGGGGAGCAAACAGG
rnacentral:rRNA from 1 species